rnacentral:rRNA from 1 species
UAGUAACGGCGAGUGAAGCGGGAAGAGCUCAAGCUUAAAAUCUCCAUGCAAGUUUUGUAUGGCGAAUUGUAGUCUAUAGAAGCGUGGUCAGUGAGGGUACUUAGGGCAAGUUCCUUGGAAGAGGACAGCAUGGAGGGUGAAACUCCCGUUCAUCCCUGAGUGGCUCUUGCGUACGACCCGUUUUCUUUGAGUCGCGUUGUUUGGGAAUGCAGCGCAAAGUAGGUGGUAAAUUCCAUCUAAAGCUAAAUAUUGGUGCGAGACCGAUAGCGAACAAGUACCGUGAGGGAAAGAUGAAAAGAACUUUGAAAAGAGAGUUAAAGAGUACCUGAAACUGCUGAAAGGGAACCGAAUCGUUUCCAGUGUCUAUAAUCUGUGGCAUAUUUCAUUGGCGAGUGUGUGCGUGUGUGUGCUGUGGCAGUGGCUUUUAUUAGCUGCGCUCGGUGUGCGUGCUGUGUGUGCUUGCUGGUGCCCUGUGCUGCGGUGGGACGUCAAUGUCAGUUCGUAUGCUGCGGGAAAUGGCUGCCGAGGAGGUAGGGCUUACGCUUGCGUUUGUCUGUUAUAUCUUGGUGGACGAGUCGUCGUGGUUGGGACUGAGGUGCCUAUAACGUGCUUUUGAGUGUGUGUGGGUCUCCGUGUGCGCCGUGUGCGGAUAGCUUGCUAUGCGUGUGUGGUUGUGCGUGGAUUGAUGCGCGCUGUAGCUUGUCGCCGUUC